AUUAAUAUUGGUUGUAUAAAUAAUUAAUAUAUUUAUUAAGAUUAUAAAGUAGGAGUACUCAGUAUUUAAAUUUAUACAAUGAAUGAAAGUUUUAUAUAGAUAUUAUAAAUAAGAGUUGGUUAAUAUUUGUGCCAGCAGCUGCGGUUAAACAAAUAACUCAAAUUAAAUUAGUAUAGUAGAUUAUAAAGUUAGGCUAUAAAAAGAAUUAGUAGAAAAUUGUAUUAAUAUAUAAUUAGGUAAAAUUUGUUAUAUUUUGGAGUUUUAAAAAUUUCUAUAAUGUUCAAACUUUGAAAAUUUGAUAGUAAACUAGGAUUAGAUACCCUAUUAUUUCAAUAUUUUAAAAAUUGAAUUAUUAUUCUACUAAAGUAUUAAGGAUAUAUGUAAAAUUAUAAGAAUAUUUAAAACUUAAAAAAUUUGGCGGUUUCACAUAUCCAUUUAGGGGAGCUUGUUAAUAUAAAAUGAUAUUCCUCGAUUUAGACUUACUUUUCUUUGAAAGAAUACCAGUUUGUGUAUUGCUGUCAAUAAGUUUAUGUUUUAAGAAUUAUUUAAAAGACUUUAAAAUUGAUGUGUUUUUAUGUCAAGUCAAAAUGCAGUUUAUAGAAAAGAAUUAAUGAGCUACUUUUUAUAAUUUUAUGAUUCAAAUUUUUAAUUUUAAUUAUUAAAAAUAAGAGGGACUUAAUAGUAAUAUAAAAAUUAGUUUGUUUUUAUGAAUAAAAGGUUUUGUGAAGUGUACAUAUCGCCCGUCGCUCUUGUUGUGAGAUAAGAUAAGUCGUAACAUAGUAAGGGUAAUGGAAAUUGUUCUUGGAUAAAU
rnacentral:ncRNA from 1 species